CAUAUACUCCCUCCGUCCGGAAAUCCUUGUCAUUGAAAUGUAUGUAUCUAGAUGUAUUUUAGUUCUAGAUACAUCCAUUUUUAUCAAGUUUUGCUACAAGUAAUUCUUGACAUAGGCAGUAUUAA
rfam:Hordeum vulgare subsp. vulgare, WGS project CAJW01000000 data, contig: morex_contig_2550449